rnacentral:lncRNA from 1 species
CGAGAGCCAAUACAGCUGGUCUGUCAGUGACAUGUCAGACUGGCAUUUGUGAACAGGGACAUCAAAGACUUCCCAGACCUUGCACUCAGGCUGCCAGUUCUCCAGAGACCACCCCUGGCCCGGGACAAUUUGACAGAUACACAGCACAGCAAGAAGGUGUGAUGAUGCUUGCUUGGUGGAGAAAAACAUGGCAAACCAUUCCACUAUCUACUCCAGCAUCUUUGCCAAGAAGACCCCAAAGGGAAUGAUGAAAAGUCAGACAAGAAUCAAAACAACUGAAAGCUGAAGUAAGUUUUGUCCAUUUUACUAAAUAAACAAUAAUUGAUAAUUUGUUGCCGACUGUGGUCAGAUGAAUAAGAGAUGUCAAGAAAUAAAUGUAUAAACAUAAGCUCUGGAAUACCUUCCAGUUGGAGAUAAUAAGAUUAAAGAUGGGAAGAAGUCAAAUAGCAGACUGAAGAGUGAUCUAAAAAUGAUGUUGGCAGACUCCAAAGUCCAGAAGAGCUAGAUUUCAAUUCUGAAUAGCUAUUAGAUAUGGAAAUUUGCUGUAUAUAUUUCAUAUGGUUUUGAAAGAAAGAAGUAAGUAUGCUUUAAAGACUAUCAAAAAGCGACACAUUGCUAUUAAUAUACACUUCAUCAAUGUUUGUUUGGAGGGUAUUACAGUUACAGGAAGUAAAGUGUAAUGGAAAGAUCAUUAGGAGGAACAGUGUAAGCAGAAGCAGAAGAACAAUUUAUACAAUAUACCACAGUAACUGAAACUGAAACUUUCUGAUCAGUGAAGUGAGAGGACUGUCAGUGAAACAUAAUUUCCUCUUCUUUAGGGGUGGUGGACUAUAGGUGCAGAGCAAGGCAUAUGUUGUCAAAUAUGGUCAGUUUGUUGGCUUAUCUUGCUUCAUUGUAAUUCUGUAUCACAGAAGAGAUCUCUACUGACUAAGUGCAGAUGUGGUAGUGGUGGGGGUGUGCAUUGAGAAGUGAAUGGAUUCUAAAAGGCACAAUCAGACAUCUAUUUACAUUUUUUAAGGGGAAAAAUUAGGGGAUGUAAAUUAGAAGGCUUGGGUUCAAGUCUGUCCCUCUCACACACUCACUGCGUCACUUCACUAGCCAGCUGGUAAAGCCAUUUCCUCUCUCUGGGCAUCAAUUUCCUAAUCUAUAUAAUGUAAUGGUUGGGAAAUGACCUCCAAUGUUUCUUCCAACUCUGCAAGGCUAUGACUCCAUGAAUUAAAUUUAAAUUAAUUGAAUUGCCUUUUAUUUAAGUCACAGCCUUUUAGAACUAGAAGAAAGCUUAGAACUCAGC